CCAGACAAGCUGAGAGGUGGUGCAUGGCCGUCGCCAGCUCGUGCCGUGAGAUGUCCUGUUAAGUCAGGUAACGAGCGAGAUCCCUGCCUCUAGUUGCCACCAUUACUCUCAGGAGUAGUGGGGCGAAUUAGCGGGACCGCCGCAGUUAAUGCGGAGGAAGGAAGGGGCCACGGCAGGUCAGUAUGCCCCGAAACUCUGGGGCCACACGCGGGCUGCAAUGGUAGCGACAAUUGGUUUCGAAUCCGAAAGGAUGAGGUAAUCCACAAACGCUACCACAGUUAUGACUGAGGGCUGCAACUCGCCCUCACGAAUAUGGAAUCCCUAGUAACUGCGUGUCAUUAUCGCGCGGUGAAUACGUCCCUGCUCCUUGCACACACCGCCCGUCGUUUCAUUGAAGUGAGCUUUUAGCGAGGUGACGUCUGAUUGGCGUUAUCGAACUUGAGGUUCGUGACAAGGGAAAAGUCGUAACAAGGU
rnacentral:rRNA from 1 species